UGAUCCUUUAGCCACUGUUCAUGUGCUUCAUUCUAAUACUCUGAGAGCACAUCCAUUGGAGUGGUCCUACUAGCUAGCACGGUGCACUGGACACAAUGGACCAACACUCUGACUCAGGGGAAAGAACUGUAUAGGAGAUUGUGUAUGCAACUGCUUGAGGCUCAAACCCUGGCCAGUGUUGACUGGGGGAAUGGGGGAUUUGAAGACAGAAUCCUCCCCCACCAUGGGGAAGCUUGACCUGGGGUAUGGUCAACUCCCUCAUGUUAGCCCGACCCCUCCUGGGGGGCAUCACAUUGAUAGUUUCAACACACACGUGUAGAGGAGCUGUGUCAGAAUAAUGUCUUCACAAGGGAACAAAAGUUUCCCACGGAUGAGGACCGCCUCACUGACUUCCAUUCUCAUCUCUUGUUUGUGAUGAGAUAAAGAUCACCUUCUGUUGUGUGCCUAAAGUAGUGUGGUGAUGGAGUUGCUGACUCAGUGAUCACUCGACUGAGACAACAUCCUAAGGCCGUUGCUAGGCUACACCAUCGGACCAUACAUCGUGACAAAACCCACCAUACAUCGUGACCUCAAGGUCAGUACAGUGGAAUCUCUCUAUAACAUACACAUUAGGGGAGCAAUAUCUUGACUGUACACAAACUGUUCAUUUAGGACCUGGUCUUUAUAUCAGUUGACCUUUCUUCAGAUGAGGUCAUUAAGAGUGGCUCCACUAUAUAGCUCUGUGUGUGUGUGUGUGUGUGUGUGUGUGUGUGUGUGUGUG